GUUUCUGUAGUUGAGUACAACAUUAGCUUUUCAAGCUAUUAGCCUAGGUUAAAUUCCUAGCAGAAAUA
rnacentral:tRNA from 1 species